AGGGAGUGAUGCCGGCAUUAAAGACACUGGAUAUAUGGGAAUGCAUGCAGUUGAAGCAAAUUCCUCGGGGCAUUGAACAUCUCACAAAUCUCAAACAAUUGACUCUGUUAGGUGUUCCGAAUGAGCUGAUUGAGUGCAUACGAGGAGAAGGAAGCAUGGAUAACUCAAAGGUUAAGCAGAUUCCCAACAUUGGUUAUUGCUACAGAACUAGGUUUGGGUGGUCUCAUGGUAGAACGCGAUGAUCUCCGCUACAGCAAGGUAACUAGUAAGAGCUCACCAAGGUCGCGAAUUUUGGAUUGGGUUAGUUCAUCAUGAUCGAAUAAAAUUGUUACAAAAGUCCAUUUAGUGAUAUCAGUUGAAGACUUCAUAUAACAUCAGCACGUAUAUGUAUGGGUUGUACGUGUUGCUAUGUUCUCUCUCUGUGCUCUAUAUAUGCAUGUAUUGGUACAAUGAUCUAUUCCCCUAUGGUAUUCCAUUUAUGUAGAUUGCAAUUAAUAUGCCUAUCGUAUGCACAUACUUAUGCACUUUA